AAUUAUGGCGGUUGUACGCGGGGCACUUUCGAGUGCGCCGGGUUCCUGUAUCCUCGGUCUUCCAGACCAUGCACAGCUGCCCCUCAU
rnacentral:antisense_RNA from 1 species